UGUUGUGCCGGGGUAAGCGUGUAGGCCGUGGUGUAGGCAAAUCCGCACCACAUGAAGGCUGAGACGUGAUGCCGAGCCGAUUCAGGUGAAGUCAGUGAUCCUAUGCUGCCGAGAAAAGCCUCUAGCGAGUUCUUAGCGGCCCGUACCCCAAACCGACACAGGUGGUCAGGUAGAGAAUACCGAGGCGAUCGGGCGAACUGUGGUUAAGGAACUCGGCAAAUUGCCCCCGUAACUUAGGGAGAAGGGGGGCCGGAGACGUGAAGCCCCGCGCGGGUGGAGCGUUGUAUGGCCGCAGAGAGCAGGGGGAAGCACUGUUUACUAAAAACACAGGUCCAUGCGAAGAAGUAAUUCGAUGUAUAUGGACUGACGCCUGCCCGGUGCUGGAACGUUAAGGGGACCUGUUAGCUCUUCGGGGCGAAGCGGAGAACUUAAGCGCCAGUAAACGGCGGUGGUAACUAUAACCAUCCUAAGGUAGCGAAAUUCCUUGUCGGGUAAGUUCCGACCUGCACGAAUGGCGUAACGACUUCCCCACUGUCUCAACCACAGGCCCGGCGAAAUUGCAGUACGAGUAAAGAUGCUCGUUACGCGCGGCAGGACGGAAAGACCCCGGGACCUUUACUAUAGCUUGACAUUGGUACUCGAAUUAGCUUGUGUAGGAUAGGUGGGAGCCGGUGAAGUCCAUACGCCAGUAUGGGUGGAGGCAAUCUUGAAAUACCACUCUGGUUGAUUUGGGUAUCUAACUUCGGACCGUUAUCCGGUUCAGGGACAGUGUCUGGUGAGUAGUUUAACUGGGGCGGUUGCCUCCUAAAAGGUAACGGAGGCGCCCAAAGGUUCCCUCAGCCUGGUUGGCAAUCAGGUGUUGAGUGCAAGUACACAAGGGAGCUUGACUGUGAGACUGACAGGUCGAGCAGGGACGAAAGUCGGGACUAGUGAUCCGGCACUUGCGAGUGGAAGCGGUGUCGCUCAACGGAUAAAAGGUACCCCGGGGAUAACAGGCUGAUCUUCCCCAAGAGUCCAUAUCGACGGGAUGGUUUGGCACCUCGAUGUCGGCUCGUCGCAUCCUGGGGCUGUAGCAGGUCCCAAGGGUUGGGCUGUUCGCCCAUUAAAGCGGUACGCGAGCUGGGUUUAGAACGUCGUGAGACAGUUCGGUCCCUAUCCGCCGUGCGCGUAGGAUACUUGAGAAGGGCUGUCCCUAGUACGAGAGGACCGGGACGGACGAACCUCUGGUGUGCCAGUUGUCCCGCCAGGGGCACGGCUGGUUAGCUACGUUCGGAAGGGAUAACCGCUGAAAGCAUCUAAGCGGGAAGCCUGCUUCAAGAUGAGGUAUCCCACCCACUUUGUGGGGUAAGGCCCCCAGCUAGACGACUGGGUUGAUAGGCCGGAAAUGUAAGCCCGGUAACGGGUUCAGUUGACCGGUACUAAUAGGCCGAGGACCAAAAAA
rnacentral:rRNA from 1 species